UACGUAGGGUGCAAGCGUUGUCCGGAAUUAUUGGGCGUAAAGAGCUCGUAGGCGGUCUGUUACGUCGGCUGUGAAAACCUGGGGCUCAACUCCGGGCCUGCAGCCGAUACGGGCAGACUAGAGUUCGGCAGGGGAGACUGGAAUUCCUGGUGUAGCGGUGAAAUGCGCAGAUAUCAGGAGGAACACCGGUGGCGAAGGCGGGUCUCUGGGCCGAAACUGGACGCUGAGACACGAAGGCCAGGGGAGCGAACGGGG
rnacentral:rRNA from 1 species